GGCAUUCCUGGGUAGCGGGGUGGGGGGAUCCACCCAAUAAUAGAACUAAACUAGGUUCCCUGUAAUCAGCUUAACUAAUAAAAUUUUUGGUAUAGUUUUGUUAGCUUUCUUAGAAAACGUAAUUCUUAUACUCUAUGGGCUGGGGUAAUCUUACACUUAUUCAACAAUCCAAAGUGCUCUAAUUUUUGGUACUAUUAACUACUUAUUCACAGGUAUUCCUGCAUGUCUUUACAAAAUACUGCAUUAACAAACAGCCAGAGAUGGAUACUAGGUUGUCCUCGGUACUUCAAAUACGGAGCUCACAGUCCUUGCCCAUCAGGCUUACUUCACUUUAUUUUUCUUGUACAACCCUAUGUUGUAGCCACCGCUGGAGCCUGGGUCCUCUGCACAGAGACUCUGGUGUGGGUCUUGAGGAGGUGGUCAGUGAAUUCUUGAUAGGGAGACUUGGUGAAUACAGUCUCCUUCCAGAGGUCAGGGGUCAGCCUGCUGUAGGCCUUAGAGAUGGCAUCAAAAAUGACCAUGGUGAAGUUGUGCAGGAUGGCAGUGCAGCCCUUGGCUGAGGUGUAGCAGUCAUCGAUACCAGCCAUCAGCAGCAGCUUCUUGGCCAUGGGGGCCAACGAUGCCAGUGCCCCUGGGUGCAGGGAUGACCUGGGCCAGCACAGAGCCGCUGCAGCCUGUCACCUUGCAAGGGAUGGUGUGGGGCUUGCCAAUCUUGUUUCCCCAGUAGCCUCUGUGCAUGGGCACAACGGAGAGCUUGGCCAGGAUGAUGGCCCCACGGAUGGCAGUGGCCACCUCCUUGGAGCCUAACACCCAGAUCAGUGUGGCCAUUGUGCCCAAUGGCAACAAACGCCUUAAACCUGGUGCGUUGGCCGGUGCGGAUCUGCUUUUGCACUGGCAUGUCUUCAAAACUUCACCCUUGAGAGAGGCCCCAGGGAAAAGUCAAUGAUCACAGACUCCUUGACGGGCGGGGAGAAGAGACAGAUCUCCUCCAGGGACUUCAUCUUCAUGUCCUUGACCAGGUGACCCAGCUUGGUGACAAGCAUCUACUCCUUGGCCCUGGCCUUGCCUCCGGGAGCUCUGCGGCUGGCCCCGACCCACUCCAUGGCCGCGAUCCCAGUUCCCCAUCCCAGGGCCAGCUGCGACCCCAGUUCCCCAUCCCAGGCCCCCUGCUGCACUGGCGUCAUCCGCGAAUGAUGUUUUCUCGGAGAAGAAGCUAAUGUACCUUUUAAACCAGUAAAAGAAAUGUUUAUUUGACAUCUAGUUUAUGAACCUGUAACUUCUAUGAACUCUGUAACUGAAGAUAUUUGUGUUUAUCUUACAUCUUUUAUGUAAAG
rnacentral:lncRNA from 1 species